GACGUAGGGCGCGAGCGUUGUCCGGAUUUAUUGGGCGUAAAGGGCUCGUAGGCGGUUGAUUGCGUCCGCCGUGAAAGGCCUCGGCUUAGCCGGGGUUUUGCGGUGGAUACGGGUCGACUUGAGGCAAUUAGGGGAGAUCGGAAUUCUACGUGUAGCGGUGAAAUGCGCAGAUAUGUGGAGGAACACCGGUGGCGAAGGCGGAUCUCUGGGAUUGUUCUGACGCUGAGGAGCGAAAGCGUGGGGAGCGAACAGG
rnacentral:rRNA from 1 species